UACGCCCGAUCUCGUCCGAUCUCGGAAGCUAAUCAGGGUCGGGUCUGGUUAGUACUUGGAUGGGAGACCGCCUGGGAAUACCAGGUGCUGUAAGCUU
rnacentral:rRNA from 1 species